ACACCAAGAAGAAGCAGAAGAAACAAAGUUGUUUCUUAUAUAGAUUUCUCUCCUCUCCUCUUUCGUUUUAGCAUAUUUCAGAAUAUUUAUUUGCAACACGUUAUCAGCACGAGAUCCCUUAUAAGUUUCACUAUGUCAAAUUUAUCAAAACUUGAGUUUGUGGAUUUGGACAUUACCGGAAAGAAUUAUUUAUCAUGGGUCCUUGAGGCUGAAAUUCACCUUGACGCUAGAGGUUUUGGGGAUACUAUCAAACAAGAAAAUAACGCAUCUUGUCAAGAUAAGGCGAAAGUCAUUAUUUUUCUUCGUCAUCACCUCCACCAAGGAUAAAAAACUGAAUAUUUAACUGUGAAAGAUCCACUCGAAUUGUGGACCAACUUGAAGGACCGAUAUCACCACCUAAAAUUGACGGUAUUAUCAAAAGCUAAAUAUCACUGGAUACACCUUUAGUUUCAAGAUUUCAAAACUGUGGUUGAGUAUAAUUCUGCUAUUCAUAAAGUAAGUUCAAUAUUAAGAUUAUGCGGAGAAACCACCACUGAUAAGGACUUACUAGAGAAAACUUUUUCUACUUUUCAUGCUUCUAAUGUAUUGCUACAACAACAAUAUCGUGAAAAGGGAUUUAAGAAAUAUUCAGAAUUGAUUAUAUGCCUAGUUGUGGCAGAGCAGAAUAAUACUUUAUUAAUGAAAAAUCAUGAAGCUCGUCCCACUGGAUCUGCUCCAUUCCCUGAAGCGAAUGUUGUAGCAGCACAUAAUCAGCCUGAAAUAAGGAAAAAUUAUUAUCGCGGCCGUGGUCGAGGCCAUGGUCGUGGACGUGGGCGAGGAUGUGGCAGAGGAUGAAAUAAUUAUCGUCAUAAUGGUAGAAAUAAACAAGAGAACAAUAAAGGUUCUCAAAAUAAUCCUUCAAAGGGUAAAGUUAAUAUUUGUCACCGAUGUGGUAUGAAAGGUCAUUGGGCACGUGUUUGUUGUACGCCUGCUCAUUUUGUCAAACUUUAUCAAGCUUCCCUUAAAAGAAAAGAAAAUGAUGUGGAGGUACACUUGACCUUUCGAGGUGAUGAUGAUGAAGCAGCUCCAUCAAAUACAUAUGAUGAUGUUGAGGCAAAUCUUUCUUACAAUGAUGAUGACUUUAAGGGCCUCUCAGAUAUUACCCAUUUGAAAGCUGAAGAUUUCUAUGAGGACAUUGAUUGAAGAACUGAUCACCUUAGUUGAGAAUAAAUUAUAAAGAAAGUUAUUAUUUUCUUUUGUUUGUAAUUAUGUUUUUCUGUUUUAUUAAAGUACCAUGUAUUUCUAAUUUCUACAUUUCUUAUGUUAGUUUUUCAAAAUUUU